CACUGAUUGGACUAGGGGCCCCACCAGGUUACCGACUUCAGUCAAACUCCGAAGACCAUUACAGUUAGCUCGGCAGUCAGCGUAUGGGGGAUAAACUUCAUAUGCGAGAGGGGAACAACCCAGACCAUCAGUUAAGGUCCCCAAGUACUAGCUAAGUGGUAAACGAUGUCCGAAUGCAUAGACAACCAAGAGGUUGGCUUAGAAGCAGCCACCCUUGAAAGAGUGCGUAACAGCUC
rnacentral:rRNA from 14 species